GUCGAACGGGAAUUACUUUAUUGAAACUUCGGUCGAUUUAAUUUAAUUCUACUGUUAGACGGGUGAGUAACGCGUGGGUAACCUGCCUUGUACAGGGGGAUAACAGUCAGAAGUGACUGCUAAUACCGCAUAAGCGCACAGGACCGCAUGGUCCGGUGUGAAAAACUCCGGUGGUAUAAGAUGGACCCGCGUUGGAUUAGCUAGUUGGUGAGGUAACGGCCUACCAAGGCGACGAUCCAUAGCCGGCCUGAGAGGGUGAACGGCCACAUUGGGACUGAGACACGGCCCAAACUCCUACGGGAGGCAGCAGUGGGGAAUAUUGCACAAUGGGGGAAACCCUGAUGCAGCGACGCCGCGUGAAGGAAGAAGUAUCUCGGUAUGUAAACUUCUAUCAGCAGGGAAGAAAAUGACGGUACCUGACUAAGAAGCCCCGGCUAACUACGUGCCAGCAGCCGCGGUAAUACGUAGGGGGCAAGCGUUAUCCGGAUUUACUGGGUGUAAAGGGAGCGUAGACGGAUGGACAAGCCUGAUGUGAAAGGCUGGGGCUCAACCCCGGGACUGCAUUGGAAACUGCCCGUCUUGAGUGCCGGAGAGGUAAGCGGAAUUCCUAGUGUAGCGGUGAAAUGCGUAGAUAUUAGGAGGAACACCAGUGGCGAAGGCGGCUUACUGGACGGUAACUGACGUUGAGGCUCGAAAGCGUGGGGAGCAAACAGGAUUAGAUACCCU
rnacentral:rRNA from 1 species